rnacentral:rRNA from 1 species
AUUGAACGCUGGCGGCAUGCCUUACACAUGCAAGUCGAACGGCAGCAUGAUCUAGCUUGCUAGAUUGAUGGCGAGUGGCGAACGUGUGAGUAAUACAUCUGAACGUGCCCUGUAGUGGGGGAUAACUAGUCGAAAGAUUAGCUAAUACCGCAUACGACCUGAGGGUGAAGGUGGGGGACCGCAAGGCCUCAUGCUAUAGGAGCGGCCGAUGUCUGAUUAGCUAGUUGGUGAGGUAAAGGCUCACCAAGGCGACGAUCAGUAGCUGGUCUGAGAGGACGAUCAGCCACACUGGGACUGAGACACGGCCCAGACUCCUACGGGAGGCAGCAGUGGGGAAUUUUGGACAAUGGGCGAAAGCCUGAUCCAGCAAUGCCGCGUGUGUGAAGAAGGCCUUCGGGUUGUAAAGCACUUUUGUUCGGAAAGAAAUGGAGCAGGUUAAUACCUGGGUUCGUUGACGGUACCGGAAGAAUAAGGACCGGCUAACUACGUG